GUGAAGAACGUAGUGAAAUGCGAUACCUGGUGUGAAUUGCAGAAUCCCGCGAACCAUCGAGUCUUUGAACGCAAGUUGCGCCCGAGGCCACCCGGCCGAGGGCACGCCUGCCUGGGCGUCACGCCAAAACACGCUCCCACCCCCCCUCACCGGGGGAGCGGGACGCGGCGUCUGGCCCCCCGUGCCGCGAGGCGCGGUGGGCCGAAGAUCGGGCUGCCGGCGUACCGUGCCGGGCACAGCGCGUGGUGGAUCUCUACUCGGCGCAGUGCACCCGGCGCGUAGCCGGCGCAGCGGCCCCUAAGGACCCAACGAACGGAGCGCGAGCCGCUCCGACCGCGACCCCAGGUCAGGCGGGACUACCCGCUGAGUUUAAGCAUAUCAAUAAGCGGAGGA
rnacentral:misc_RNA from 1 species